UAUGUAGGGUGCGAGCGUUAAUCGGAAUUACUGGGCGUAAAGCGUGCGCAGGCGGACUGUUAAGCAAGACGUGAAAUCCCCGGGCUUAACCUGGGAAUGGCGUUUUGAACUGGCAGUCUAGAGUGUGUCAGAGGGGGGUAGAAUUCCACGUGUAGCAGUGAAAUGCGUAGAGAUGUGGAGGAAUACCGAUGGCGAAGGCAGCCCCCUGGGUCGACACUGACGCUCAUGCACGAAAGCGUGGGGAGCAAACAGG
rnacentral:rRNA from 1 species